GCUGUGCCAACUGCAAAGGCUGCUUCCCUUCAUGGCCUGCUGGUGCUGUGGUUCCUCAUUGCGGGCAUGGUGACAUGGAGAGCUGUGUGACAGACACAUCUGUCUGCCACUGACUGAGAGGAGCCUCUGGACCUCUGUAGCAGUACAAAUCUCUAUCCUGACUGCAGCAAUGUCCUACAGCAUGAAAACUUCCCUAGAAGUUACUGGCAA